CAAAAACAUUGCCCCAUGAAUUCAUAUGUGGGGUAAUUCCUGCCCAGUGACUUUGGUUUAACGGCCGCGGUAUCCUAACCGUGCAAAGGUAGCAUAAUAAUUUGCCUAUUAAUUGUAGGCUAGAAUGAAGGGACUAACGAAAUUGAGUCUGUCUCUUACUAUAAAGUAAAAAUUAACCCUUGGGUGAAGAGGCCCAAAUAAAUUCGAAAGACAAGAAGACCCUAUAGAGCUUUAUUUUAAUGGGAUAAUUUUAUCUCUUGUAGUUUGGUUGGGGCGACCAAGGAUUAAAUUUAUCAUCCUUUUUUUAAAGAUUAAUUUAUCUAAAUUGUGACCCUUGUUAUAAAGAUCAUUAGAACAAGCUACCUUAGGGAUAACAGGCUAAUUCUAUUUGAGAGUUCUUAUUGAAAGUAGAGUUUGGCACCUCGAUGUUGGCUUAGGAGUUCUAGGUGGCGCAAAAGUCAUAAAAGAGGGUUUGUUCAACCCUUAAUUUCCUACGUGAUCUG
rnacentral:rRNA from 1 species